CUUCGCCGUAAUCCUCUGGACCGAAUUCCUUGCAAAGUUUGGGUGCAGCAGCGACCUCCAGUGGGCAGCUGGGCCGUAGAGAGCAGUCUACAGGAAAGGAAGGCGGAGCCUCGUCAGCGGGCUCGGGACAGAUGGGCUAGAGUCCUCCCCACUCUACCCUCGACUCUCCGCCCUCUGCAUAAAAUCCUACUCGAAACGUUCAGACCACAGGUGGACCCAAGAGGGGCUGCCUCUGCCCUCCUAGACCCCCACUGGUCUUGUCAUACCGCUCACCUAGCUUGAUCCGCCCCACAGUCUUUGGAAUCGGCGCCAUCGCAUCUACAGUGACCCGGAAAUGAAAGGUUUCUGCCAGGCCUUGGGAUCAGCUCUUGGGGGUCAGAGCAGCCUUCCCACAUCCUCUGGCACUGCUGAACUUUUGCAGCAGCUCUUUCCUCCUCUCUUGGAUGCCCUUCGAGAGCCCAGGUUACGACGGAUUUUCUGCCAGCCUGCAGAUCCUGCGCCUGUCGCCCUAGGUCUCUGUACCCUUCAGACCACCUUGCUCUGGUUCCUGGGCAGAGCUCAGCAGUACUUGGCAGCAUGGGACCCAGCUUCCUUCCUGCUCCUGAUCCAAAAGGACUUACCUCCUCUGUUGCAUGAGGCAGAAGCUUUGUAUAGCCUGGCCUCAGAGGAAAGCUUAGCUCUGGAAGUGGAGCAGCAGCUGGGCCUGGAGAUCCAGAAGCUGACUGCACAGAUCCA
rnacentral:lncRNA from 1 species